GCUGGGCAUGGUGGCGCAUGCCUAUAAUCCCAGCUACUUGGGAGGCUGAGGCAGGAGAAUUGCUUGAACCCAGGAGGUGGAGUCUACAGUUAGCCGAGAUGGCGCUACUGCACUUCAGCCUGGGUAAGAGAGUGAGACUCUGUCUCAA
ensembl:misc_RNA Metazoa_SRP Metazoan signal recognition particle RNA